GAUGAACGCUAGCUACAGGCUUAACACAUGCAAGUCGAGGGACCGGCGCACGGGUGAGUAACACGUAUCCAACCUGCCCUUUACUCGGGGAUAGCCUUUCGAAAGAACGAUUAAUACCCGAUAUAAAGGGUGGGGAUGCGUUCGAUUAGGUUGUUGGUGAGGUAACGGCCCACCAAGCCUUCGAUGGCUAGGGGUUCUGAGAGGAAGGCCCACUAGAAUGGAACUGAGACCCAGGCCAAAAGCCUAGGGGGGGCAGGAGUGAGGAAUAUUGGUGAAUGGGCGUUAGCCUGAACCAGCCAAGUAGCGUGAAGGAUGAAGGCUUAUGGGUCGUAAACUUCUUUUAUAUAAGAAGAUGUAUUAUAUGAAUAAGGAUCGGCUAACUCCGUGCCAGCAGCCGCGGUAAUAC
rnacentral:rRNA from 1 species